rnacentral:rRNA from 1 species
GAUGAACGCUGGCGGCGUGCCUAAUACAUGCAAGUCGAGCGGUAAGGUCCCUUCGGGGAUACACGAGCGGCGGACGGCUGAGUAACACGUAGGAACGUACCCCAAAGUGAGGGAUAAGCACCAGAAAUGGUGUCUAAUACCGCAUGUGCUCUAAGGAGUAAAGCUUCGGCGCUUUGGGAACGGCCUGCGUCCGAUUAGCUAGUUGGUGAGGUAAUAGCUCACCAAGGCGACGAUCGGUAGCUGGUCUGAGAGGAUGAUCAGCCAGACUGGGACUGAAACACAGCCCAGACUCCUACGGGAGGCAGCAGUAGGGAAUUUUCCACAAUGGGCGAAAGCCUGAUGGAGCAACGCCGCGUGCAGGAUGAAUGCCUUCGGGUUGUAAACUGCUUUUAUAUGUGACGAUUAUGACGGUAACAUAUGAAUAAGGAUCGGCUAACUCCGUGCCAGCAGCCGCCGUAA